GUGAGGAAUAUUGGUCAAUGGGCGAGAGCCUGAACCAGCCAAGUCGUGUGAAGGAUGAAGGUUUUAUGAAUUGUAAACUUCUUUUGCAGGGGAAUAAAGUACGGUACGUGUACCGUUUUGUAUGUACUCUGCGAAUAAGGAUCGGCUAACUCCGUGCCAGCAGCCGCGGCAAUACGGAGGAUCCAAGCGUUAUCCGGAUUUAUUGGGUUUAAAGGGUGCGCAGGCGGGUUGAUAAGUCAGCGGUGAAAGUUUGCAGCUUAACUGUAAAAUUGCCGUUGAAACUGUCGAUCUUGAGUGCAAAUGAGGUAAGCGGAAUGUGUUGUGUAGCGGUGAAAUGCGUAGAGAUUUGGAAGAACACCAGUGGCGAAGGCGACUUUCUGGACGAUGUCUGACGCUGAGGCGCGAAAGCUAGGGGAGCGAACGGGAUUAGAAACCCCUGUAGUCC
rnacentral:rRNA from 1 species